rfam:TPA: Bos taurus chromosome 11, whole genome shotgun sequence.
UCCCUGGUGGCUUAGAUUGUAAAGAAUCUGCCUGCAAUGCAGGAGACCCAGGUUUGACUCCUGGCUCAGGAA